CCUACGGGUGGCAGCAGUGGGGAAUAUUGCGCAAUGGGCGAAAGCCUGACGCAGCGACGCCGCGUGAGGGAUGAAGGUCUUCGGAUCGUAAACCUCUGUCAGCAGGGAAGAACGGUCACUGUGCUAAUCAGCAGUGAAUUGACGGUACCUGCAAAGGAAGCACCGGCUAACUCCGGGGCAGCAGCCGCGGUAAUACGGAGGGUGUGAGCGUUAAUCGGAAUUACUGGGGGUAAAGCGCUCGUAGGCGGUAUGUCACGUCAAGGGUGAAAUCCCCGCGCUCAACGUGGGAACUGCCGUUGAAACGGGCAGACUUGAGUGUGUGAGAGGAUAGUGGAAUUCCAGGUGUAGGAGUGAAAUCCGUAGAUAUCUGGAGGAACAUCAGUGGCGAAGGCGACGAACUGGCACAUAACUGACGCUGAGGAGCGAAAGCGUGGGUAGCAAACAGGAUUAGAUACCCGGGUAGUC
rnacentral:rRNA from 1 species